CCAUACUCAGACAGGCAGAGACUCCAGAUUCCAGAACCCUCCUCCUCUUCCUCCCCAGAUGAUUUAUAUACAAAUCCAGAACCCCUAAAGAUACUUCAGGAAAGUUCUUCUAUCCUCCUCCCCCAAUUUGGUACUACACACCCUAAUCUCUCACAAGCUCUGCUGCAACCACCACCACCACCAUGUCUCACUUCGGAAGGUCUGGCCCUCCGGACAUCACCGAUACUUACUCUCUCCUCGUCCUCAACAUCACCUUCCGGACGAGUGCGGAUGAUCUGUUUCCGCUUUUCGAUAAGUACGGCAAGGUCGUCGACAUCUUCAUCCCCAGAGACCGAAGGACUGGCGAGUCCAGGGGAUUUGCUUUUGUGCGAUACAAAUAUGCAGAUGAGGCACAGAAAGCAGUUGAGAGGCUCGAUGGAAGAGUUGUUGAUGGUCGCGAAAUAACUGUUCAGUUUGCAAAAUAUGGGCCUAAUGCAGAGAGGAUUCAUAAAGGAAGGAUUACUGAAACUCUACCAAAAUCGAGGCAUAGGUCAAGAAGUCGCAGUCCUCGGAGAAGGUACCGUGAUGACUAUAGAGAUCGGGACUACAGGAGGAGAAGUCGCAGUAGGAGUUGGGAUAGGUAUGAGCGUGACAGAUACCGCCAUAGACGAAGCAGGAGCCCUAGUGCCAGUCCUGAUUACUACAGGAGCAGGGGAAGAGGACGCUAUGAUGAUGAUGAUGAUGAUGAUUAUGAUAGGCGGAGGCAGAGUCCGAUUCGAAGCCGUUCUUUUGAUAGUGCAUCCCCUGCUCGGCGUAGCCUUACACCUCAAAGGAGCCUUUCUCCGUUAAGCAGAAGCCGCAGUGUCAGCCCUUAUGGACAUGGUCGUGAUGGACGAUCGCCUAAUUCUCGAAGUGUUUCACCACGAGGUCAUCCUGCUGAUUCUCGAAGUCCAUCACCUCGCCAUUCAGAUGAUGGUUGACUUUUCUGGUUGCUAUGCAAUUCCUGGAAGCAUAUUGAUUCUUCUGGAUGUUCUGCUGAUGUCCGGAUCAUAUUGGUUUUAUCUGAACUUUGAAUUGCUAGUUUGGGUAGUACUGGUUUUAAUUAGCGUUCUAUGCAUCUUGCAUUAAUUUGGGACAGAUUGGCAGUUAUUGCACCUUUGUAGUUUUUAGUUGUGUUCGGGAAAAGAAUGAUUGAGGCACGAUAGAGGAUGUUGAUUUGUAGCCGUUGAUGCUGUUUCUAGUCGUGAAUGUGAUGCUGUUUGCUGGUAUUAGAAGUAUGAUUGUAUUUGCAGUCAGCUGUUUGCUGGGCCAAUAAAUUAACUGGUUUUCUUCAACGAAAUGAACUUUGGUAAGAAUAUGGUUGGCUCUUUGUUUCUGAGAAGUGUUAUAUGCUCUAGGAUUUUAAUGUUUGACCUGAUGAUCCUCUUUGGUCUCGUUUAUUUUGAAAAAAAUGACCCUGAAAUGGGUCUAUGAGAAGGUGGAUGCAUGUUGAAAGGGUCCGUACCUGUAGCUGAUGCUGCAUAUGAAUGUGAGAUGGACUUGUAUGAAUGUAAAAGGAUUUGUAAUUGCUACAUGGUGCAAGAUGAUGCUUCACAUAAGUUGGACGUGUGAUUUAUUGACACUGAUGUCGAUGUCAACUCUGAACUGUGGCCACUAACAAUGAAAGCCUGAUCACCUGUAUCAAUGUUGCAGCCAGAGUCAUGAGACUUGGUAAUGAGUUCAUGGCUAAUUUUUUUAGGGUGUUCAAGACUAUAUAUAACCUGUCAGAAUAUAAUUUGUAUUGCUGAACUUGCUUAGAUCUUGCAUGACAAGGUUGUUUGUUUAGUUGUGAAGUGGUAGCUUAUCAGUAUUAUGUCAGUAUCUAGAUAAUAACCAGCUGUAAGUUUCCAUUUCUGCUAUUUUAUUAGGGGUUUUGUUGUCUGUUAUGAGUCUGUCCCUGAUUGUAGCUUCUUAGCUAUAUUUUGCAUGUGCCUAAGCUAAAAUAUCCGUUUGGAUUUGUGUGUUUUGUUGAUAAAACGGAUAUGACAUAGUUAAUGAGGGGGUCAUCAAGUUUCAACAUAAAUAAUUUGCUUGUUGAUUAUGUCAUGUGAUGCUCGGGUAUGCAUGUUAUCCUGAGUUUGUCUGUCCUUAAAUACCAGUCUCUAUUGCAUUGCUUCUGCUACUUAUGGACCAGUGUUUCACAAAGGGGGAAGCAAUGAUAUUACUGCUUCCGUCUUUGCUUGCACAGAAUUUGGUGCAUGCUUAUCACCACUGUGCUUCCUGGCUACUGGAUUAUUAUGUGGUUGCCAGUAAACAAAUUGGUGUGUGCUUGUGAGUCGAUCUUUUGUGUUCUGGUUGGCUAUUACCAUAUGGUUUUCUUGCUAAUUGUUCAACGGAUGUACAUUACUCUUGCGAAAGUAUGCUAUCCAGUUUUUAGAUGCUAUUUCAUGUGUUUUUAUCUUGCAAGUGGAUGCAUGCAUCGUUGAGCUACACUAGUGAUUGAAACUGUUCUGGAAAUUGAAUGCUGAUGGGUCAUAGGUGCAGCAUCAUCUGCCUAGAAUGCAGGCUAAACUGAUUUUGCAUCCUUGGAACCGAUUGUAGUGAAGUGGGAUAGGUUAAUGUGCUGGACUUUGCAAGAAGCGAUUGUAGGGAACUGUUGCAGAUGUAUGUGCCUGAAGUUGCAAGAAACAAUUGCAGAACUGAAUGAGGACCAUUUGUGUUAGUAUGUUUCUUUUUUGGGUUCAGGGCUUGAAUUACCAGUGAUUUUGUUAAUGGAUUACUGCUUAUGCUGAGGUCAUGUUUUAACUA